rnacentral:rRNA from 1 species
UAACCAGACUCCUACGGGAGGCAGCAGUGGGGAAUAUUGCACAAUGGGGGAAACCCUGAUGCAGCAACGCCGCGUGAGUGAAGAAGUAUUUCGGUAUGUAAAGCUCUAUCAGCAGGGAAGAAAAUGACAGUACCUGACUAAGAAGCCCCGGCUAACUACGCGCCAGCAGCCGCGGUAAUACGUAGGGGGCAAGCGUUAUCCGGAUUUACUGGGUGUAAAGGGAGCGUAGACGGCCAAGCAAGCCAGGGGUGAAAGCCCGGGGCCCAACCCCGGGACUGCCCUUGGAACUGCAUGGCUGGAGUGCGGGAGGGGCAGGCGGAAUUCCUGGUGUAGCGGUGAAAUGCGUAGAUAUCAGGAGGAACACCGGCGGCGAAGGCGGCCUGCUGGACCGCGACUGACGUUGAGGCUCGAAAGCGUGGGGAGCGAACAGGAUUAGAUACCCGUGUAC